rnacentral:sRNA from 1 species
AAUUGAAUGGCACCAAUGUAGCUAGUCUUAAAUUUAUCCAUUAUCAAUGUUAAAUCCUUUGCUCAAUAUAAAUAUUGACUAAGGCUCCACUAGGUGCUGAGGUGGAUUAUGAUAAUCCUAUAACCCAAAUGAAGAUACUGUUGCAUUCCACAGAAAUAUUGUGAGAAACAACAGCUAAAUAACAUAUUUUGUCUAAUCUAAUCUGAUUUCUCAAAAAUACCACAACGAUUUUCUGAUCAGCUCAAGAAACAAACACAUCAUAGUGCAGUGCACCAAUUCCAAACGGUGUCAUUUACAUUCAUGGUCUGUUCUCUGUUGAUUGUUUUAUCACAUGGAGAUAUAAUAUGUUCUCAAAUUAGACAUGCGUUUUGAUGGGAACACCUCUGAGGCACGUCACACAAACAAAUAAAAGGAGACUCGUUUUUCUUGGCUGAACUGCCUAGAAAUUUAGUUUAAUAUUAGAACAAAAAUGGUGUCAGUUCUUAUAAAUAUAUUUUGUCGUGUUGUUGUAUCAUGCAAACGUUACCUCUUUCUAUUCGAUCCUAUUUUCUGAGUGUGAGCUUGGAGCAAUUUCCAUAAGUUUAAAUAGCCCGCAAAUGGAGUUCUACAACUAGUCUUAUGAAUAAUUGUACAGUUUUAUUUCUUCUGAGAGGAAAUAAUUCAAAUAAUUGUACUGUAACACUGUUACUUGAUAAGUGAUGUUAUGGAAUUCAUCAGGUCAAAUAUCCUUGGCCUCUAUUACAUGU